rnacentral:rRNA from 1 species
UGAUCCGCCACACUGGGACUGAGACACGGCCCAGACUCCUACGGGAGGCAGCAGUGGGGAAUAUUGGACAAUGGGCGAAAGCCUGAUCCAGCCAUGCCGCGUGUGUGAAGAAGGCCUUUUGGUUGUAAAGCACUUUAAGCGAGGAGGAGGCUACUUGGAUUAAUACUCUAGGAUAGUGGACGUUACUCGCAGAAUAAGCACCGGCUAACUCUGUGCCAGCAGCCGCGGUAAUACAGAGGGUGCGAGCGUUAAUCGGAUUUACUGGGCGUAAAGCGUGCGUAGGCGGCUUUUUAAGUCGGAUGUGAAAUCCCUGAGCUUAACUUAGGAAUUGCAUUCGAUACUGGGAAGCUAGAGUAUGGGAGAGGAUGGUAGAAUUCCAGGUGUAGCGGUGAAAUGCGUAGAGAUCUGGAGGAAUACCGAUGGCGAAGGCAGCCAUCUGGCCUAAUACUGACGCUGAGGUACGAAAGCAUGGGGAGCAAACAGGAUUAGAUACCCUGGUAGUCCAUGCCGUAAACGAUGUCUACUA